AGCGAACGCUGGCGGCAGGCUUAACACAUGCAAGUCGAGCGGGCAUCCUUGAGGUGUCUGCGGCAGACGGGUGAGGAACGCGUGAGAACGUGCCCUGCAGUUCGGACUAACCCAGGGAAACUUGCGCUAAUACCGGAUACGUGCGAGAGCAGGAAGGUUUAUCUGCCGAAGGAUCGGCGCGCGUCUGAUUAGCUAGUUGGUGAGGUUACGACUCACCAAGGCGACGUUGAGUAGCUGGUCUGAGAGGAUGAUCAGCUACACUGGGACUGAGACACGGCCCAGACUCCUACGGGGGGCAGCAGUGGGGUGUAUUAGGCGCGGGGGCCUACCCUGAUCCAGCCAUGCCGCGUGAGUCAUGACGGCCUUAGGGUUGUAAAGCUCUUUUCUCCGGGACGAUAAUGACGGUACCGGAGGAAUAAGCCCCGGCUAACUUCGUG
rnacentral:rRNA from 1 species